rnacentral:rRNA from 2 species
UGGGGAAUAUUGCGCAAUGGGGGAAACCCUGACGCAGCGACGCCGCGUGCGGGAUGAAGGCCUUCGGGUUGUAAACCGCUUUUGAUUGGGAGCAAGCUUUCGGGUGAGUGUACCUUUCGAAUAAGCGCCGGCUAACUACGUGCCAGCAGCCGCGGUAAUACGUAAGGUCCGAGCGUUGUCCGGAAUCAUUGGGCGUAAAGGGUACGUAGGCGGGUAAGCAAGUUAGAAGUGAAAUCCUGUAGCUCAACUACAGUAAGCUUUUAAAACUGCUCAUCUUGAGAUAUGGAAGGGAAAGUGGAAUUCCUAGUGUAGCGGUGAAAUGCGCAGAUAUUAGGAGGAAUACCGGUGGCGAAGGCGACUUUCUGGCCAUAAUCUGACGCUGAGGUACGAAAGCGUGGGUAGCAAACAGG